GAUGAACGCUAGCGGCGGGCCUAAUACAUGCAAGUCGAACGAGAUUAAGGGGCUUGCUCCUUAUGAAAGUGGCGCACGGGUGCGUAACGCGUAUGCAACCUACCUCAAUCAGGGGGAUAGCCCGAAGAAAUUCGGAUUAACACCGCAUAAAAACACAGUACAGCAUUGUACAAUGUUCAAAUAUUUAUAGGAUUGAGAUG
rnacentral:rRNA from 1 species